rnacentral:lncRNA from 1 species
GGUGAACGCCACUGGACUUCAGGUGGGCAGUAUUUUUGCUCCAUUAAAAACACUCCAGCUGCAUCAUUUUCUAAUAGAGAGAACAGCUAUGUUGGUCUGAAUGCACCUUCUGAUUAUUUGCAAUUCUCCUCUUAGAGGAACUUCUUCUGUCCUUAAAUUCAAGGACUUAGUUAAAAGGGUAAGUAAACCCAGUGGGAAGUCCUCUUUGAUGUGCAGGAGCUCAGAUAUGCAAAAGUCUUGAUCAGCAAAUGCUUGAAAAAUGCUUACUCUUCUCCCCUUUGGGAUUGGCCAUUAACUCACUUCUAGACUUCUCAAGAAAAGCUGUUUUUCUGGUUGUUUUCGACUUCAGCCAAUAAGUGGGUUUUCCUCAGCAAGUGUUAAUAAAAUUCCCCAAAAAACUGCUGGAGUUCCUGCUGUGGUGCAGCGGGCUAAGAACAGCAGCAGCUCAGAUCACUGAGGUGCGGGUUCCAUCUCCAGCCCUGCACAGUGGGUUAAAGGAUCACGGCAGCAUCUUAGGUCUCUGCUGCGACUGGGAUUCAAUCCCUGGCUCGGGAACUUCCAUAUGCCAAGGUGUGGCCAUAAGAAAAAAGUGAACUCAUUUAGCAUUAAUUCAUUUUCAUUUGUACAGGACAGACCCCUGGUAUCCACGUGGAGUUCCUGGAUUGCUGAGAUCUUUCUUACUUGUUUCAUCUGUCUUCAAGUCUCUUUCUGUUUGAAAGACACAACUUCAAUAUUGACUUUAUUUCAUGACCCCAGAGCUUUUACUGGAGUCCACAGCCCAUCUUGGUAACUCUGCCUGCUGCUCGAUACCUCCCAUCAUAUUGCUCAACAUCAUUGCUUUGUCACCUCCUUCAGUAUACUUCAGUGUCAUUUAUCUGCUCCUCGUAUGGUUUCUUCCUUCUUUCACAUUUUUUUUUCUCCAUUUCUAUGACUUUUGUUUUCAUUAUAUCUUUAAAUUGUAAAGUCCCUUUCUCCAGAAACUUGGCUGUGGUCUGCCUAUGCCCGACCCAUCCCUCUUCUAUUCAUUAUACCCUCAACAUGGACAAAUGAAAUUUUACUCUGUUAUAUUUAAGUAUUCUUGGUAAUAAUGACAAUACUGAUAACUACUGUUUUCCAAGUCUUACUGCAUUUCUUCGCAUAUCAAUUUUCAUCAUUGAAAUCAGACUCUAAGAUAAAUAUUACUAUAUUUAUUCAACAGAGGGAAAAACUGAAACCUAAGGAAAUUUCAUAAGGUCACUUGGGUAAGAAGUACCAGAGGAUAUGAACCUGGAUUUGUCUAAGAGUAGAACAUAAGUGCUUAAUUACUCAGGGAUGUGCCUGGUCACCCGAGCACCUUUAUUAAGCUCCCAGUAGGGAUGAGAGUCCACAGCUAAGAGCUAGAGAUAAUAAGACUAUAAUUUGUCCCUGUGUCUAUGGAUGUAUUUGGAGCCAGGAGAUAAAACAGUAAAAUAUGCAGAACCACCUGGAGUAAAUCAGGAGAACUCAACGGAAGGAGUGACAGAGUAAUAUCUGAAGUGGGGG